UCCACGCCCUAAACGAUGAACACUAGUCGUCGGGAUGCUAGUCAUCUCGGUGAUGCACUUAACAGAUUAAGUGUUCCGCCUGGGGAGUACGGUCGCAAGAUUAAAACUCAAAGGAAUAGACGGGGACCCGCACAAGUGGUCGUCCGUGUGGUUUAAUUCGAAAAUACGCGAAGAACCUUACCUAGCCUUGACAUUGAAGAAACACACUAGAGAUAGAGUGUGUUUCUUCAAUG
rnacentral:rRNA from 1 species